UACGUAGGGUGCGAGCGUUGUCCGGAAUGAUUGGGCGUAAAGCGUCCGCAGGUGGCAGUUCAAGUCUGCUGUCAAAGACCGGGGCUUAACUUCGGAAAGGCAGUGGAAACUGAACAGCUAGAGUAUGGUAGGGGCAGAGGGAAUUCCUGGUGUAGCGGUGAAAUGCGUAGAGAUCAGGAAGAACAUCGGUGGCGAAGGCGCUCUGCUGGACCAUAACUGACACUCAGGGACGAAAGCUAGGGGAGCGAAUGGG
rnacentral:rRNA from 1 species